UACAGAGGUCUCAAGCGUUGUUCGGAUUCAUUGGGCGUAAAGGGUGCGUAGGCGGCGCGGUAAGUCGGGUGUGAAAUCUCGGAGCUUAACUCCGAAACUGCAUUCGAUACUGCCGUGCUCGAGGACUGGAGAGGAGACUGGAAUUUACGGUGUAGCAGUGAAAUGCGUAGAUAUCGUAAGGAAGACCAGUGGCGAAGGCGGGUCUCUGGACAGUUCCUGACGCUGAGGCACGAAGGCCAGGGGAGCAAACAGG
rnacentral:rRNA from 1 species